CUUCUGUUCUGCCUGCAAAGACUGAGUCUAAGUCGGAGAUAAUUCCUACACUCUGAGACCAUCAGUUGGCCUGGUUUUAGAAGCAGGGGGCGACUUUCCUGGUGGCUCAGAAGAUUAGAAUAGCCUUGUGUAGAAUAUGAAGAAGUAGCCCUAGAACUUGAAUGUCCUGUAUCUUUGGGCCAUUGUUUCAAAACUUUGGCAAAUGAAAACUACAGUGACAUAUGGAGAAACUGUUGAUGAGAAUGAUCUGAAGACUUUCCAAGCUAAAGAUAUAAAGAAGGCACCAUUAUUAGAUGUCUAAGAGAGAUGGAGACACUCUAUAUGGUCAAGACCCACAUUCCCAGGGGCUUGGGUGAGACAAGGAUUGGUAAACUGUGUUCCUGGAAACCACUAACCACCCAUUCGGAGACAGCCCUGCAUGACCUUCUCUUUAGGACCCACAGUCCAGAGACAGCAGCCAGGGGCUGACUGAUACACCCUUUCCUCCAAGCGAGCCCCCUGCCCAUUGUGCAGUGCCCAUAUGCAGACUGAUGCUGUGGCCUGUCCUUCCUCACCUCUGAGUGAUGAGCAGAGCUUGAUAAAGUAGGCUCAAAUGGGUAGCAGGACAUUUAGACAUGGCUGAGUUGACAAUGGUGUUGAUAUGACUCAGAAGGCCCACCACUACAUAAAAAUGUAAACUUUUUUUAAAUUGUUUUUUUAAAACCAGGUUUGUUGCUUUCUUGGUUUAGUCAUUAAGCCAUGCUCAACUCUUGCUACCCCCUGGACUGUAGCCUGCCAGGCU
rnacentral:lncRNA from 1 species